GACGUAGGGCGCGAGCGUUGUCCGGAUUUAUUGGGCGUAAAGAGCUCGUAGGCGGUUUGUCGCGUCUGCUGUGAAAACCCGAGGCUCAACCUCGGGCCUGCAGUGGGUACGGGCAGACUAGAGUGCGGUAGGGGAGAUUGGAAUUCCUGGUGUAGCGGUGGAAUGCGCAGAUAUCAGGAAGAACAUCGGUGGCGAAGGCGCUCUGCUGGACCAUAACUGACACUCAGGGACGAAAGCUAGGGGAGCGAAUGGG
rnacentral:rRNA from 1 species